rnacentral:rRNA from 1 species
CUAAGCGGAGGAAAAGAAACCAACGGGGAUUCCCAUAGUAACUGCGAGUGAAAGGGGAAAAGCCCAGCGCCGAAUCCUGCCGCUGGAGACGGUGGCAGGAACUGUGGCGUGAAGAUGGUGUCUAUCGGUGUGGCUUGCUCGCGUAAGUUCUCCUGAGUGAGGCUCCAUCCCAUGGAGGGUGCAAGGCCCGUGUCGUGAGCAGCCGUCACCGAUGUGCGCUAUCAGAGAGUCGCCUUGUUUGCGAGUACAAGGUGAAGUCGGUGGUAAACUCCAUCGAAGGCUAAAUAUGACCACGAGUCCGAUAGCGAACAAGUACCGUGAGGGAAAAUUGAAAAGCACUUUGAAGAGAGAGCGAAACAGUGCGUGAAACCGCUCAGAGGCAAGCAGAUGGGGCCUCGAAGGCAGAGCCGCGAAUUCAGCCGGUGGUCCGUGCGGUGGGUCGGGAUUGGAGAUCGCAAGACUCUGCCUGGCUUACUUGGUACGGCUACCGGUGCACUUUCGCGGCUUGUACGCCACCGCCGUUAAGGAGCGUCCGCCGGGCCUGCGUGUGGAGCCUAACUGUCUUCGGGCAGUUGGUGUCUCACUGCGGGUCUGUGCGCGAUCGCGCUUUAACCGGUCAUGUCAGCAUGUGCCAGCGUUUGCGCUGGGUCAGCCGGCUCCGGUUGGGCUGUAUGGGGAUGUCGAGCUUGCUCGCCUCUUCUGCACCUGAUGGACUCGUGCGGGCUUUCAGCGUGGUACAUUGUGGAUUCGGUGGCGAGUAGACGGCUGCCCAUCUAACCCGUCUUGAAACACGGACCAAGGAGUUCAACAUGCGCGCCAGUCGUUGGGACUAGAAGCCCGCUGGCAAAGUGAAAGCAAGUCACAGUGUCACGCUGUGUAUUGGCGAGAUCCCGUCACCGGUGGUACUUAUGUGCCAUCGGCCGGGCGCAUCGCCGGCCCAUCAUAAGCUCACGUGGCUGUGGUGGAGCUUGAGCGUGCACGUUGAGACCCGAAAGAUGGUGAACUAUGCCUGGGCAGGAUGAAGCCAGGGGAAACUCUGGUGGAGGUCCGUAGCGAUUCUGACGUGCAAAUCGAUCGUCUGACCUGGGUAUAGGGGCGAAAGACUAAUCGAACCAUCUAGUAGCUGGUUCCCUCCGAAGUUUCCCUCAGGAUAGCUGGCACUCGGAGAACGUAGUCUCUCCCGGUAAAGCGAAUGAUUAGAGGCCUUGGGGUAGAAACUACCUCAACCUAUUCUCAAACUUUAAAUGGGUGAGAAGUCCGGCUUGCUUAAAUGCGAAGCUGAAGUCCGGACGUUGGAUACGAGCGCCUAGUGGGCCACUUUUGGUAAGCAGAACUGGCGCUGUGGGAUGAACCGAACGCUGAGUUAUGGCGCCCGACGAGACGCUCAUCAGAUCCCAGAAAAGGUGUUGGUUGCUAUACACAGCAGGACGGUGGCCAUGGAAGUCGGAACCCGCUAAGGAGUGUGUAACAACUCACCUGCCGAAGCAACUAGCCCUGAAAAUGGAUGGCGCUAGAGCGUCUGGCCUAUACUCGGCCGUUGCCGCAGCAAUGAUAAAGUCAUGCAGCAACGAGUAGGAGGGUCGCGGCGGUGGCGUCGAAGGCUUACGGGCGUGAGCCUGGCUGGAGCCGCCGUCGGUGCAGAUCUUGGUGGUAGUAGCAAAUACUCAAGCGAGAACCUUGAGGACUGAAGUGGAGAAGGGUUCCAUGUGAACAGCAGUUGAACAUGGGUCAGUCGAUCCUAAGGUAUCGGCGAAAGCCGUUCAGAAGCGGUGUGGAUAGUGCCUUCGGGUACUGGUUGGUGUUUGGUCGCAAGAUUAAGCAUUGAUCACCGCACCUACCGAAAGGGAAUCGGGUUAAUAUUCCCGAACCCGGCAUCGGAUACGCCAGGCUUCGGCCUGGCAAAUGCGGCAACGCAAAUGAACUCGGAAACGCUGACACGUGCCCUAGAAAGAGUUGUCUUUUCUUCAUAAGGCUCAGGCUCCCUGGAAUCGGAUCAUCCGGCGAUAGGGAGAUGGAGUCCGUAGAGCACCGCGGUUCUUGCGGUGUCUGGUGCGCACGUGUCGGUCCUUGAAACUCCGAGGGAGAGUGUGAUUUUCGUGCCGGAUCGUACCC